ensembl:misc_RNA 7SK 7SK RNA
GGAUGUGAGGGCGAUCUGGCUGCAACAUCUGUCACCCCAGUGAUCGCCAGGGUUGGUUGAUUAUGCUGAUCUGGCUGGCUAGGCGGGUGUCCCCUUCCUCCCUCACCGCUCCAUGUUCUGGGUCUAAGAGAAAGCCCUUCCCCGAAUAGGUCUUCGGUCAAGGGUAUAUGAGUAGCUGCACUCCCCUCCUAGAACCUCCAAACAAGCUCUCAAGAUUUAGUGCCAGAUACUGUCAUACAGAUACUGAAAAUAGAACACAGUCUCAUAGCUUGCACUACAAUUCACAUGCUGCUGG